rnacentral:rRNA from 1 species
UACAGAGGUCUCAAGCGUUGUUCGGAUUCAUUGGGCGUAAAGGGUGCGUAGGCGGCGCGGUAAGUCGGGUGUGAAAUCUCGGAGCUUAACUUCCGAAACUGCAUUCGAUACUGCCGUGCUUGAGGACUGGAGAGGAGACUGGAAUUUACGGUGUAGCGGUGAAAUGCGUAGAUAUCGUAAGGAAGACCAGUGGCGAAGGCGGGUCUCUGGACAGUUCCUGACGCUGAGGCACGAAGGCCAGGGGAGCAAACGGGAUUAGA